GAGGGACCGGCGGCGAUCAGCGCUCAGCCCGGUGCCCAGGGGCUCUCCCUCUGACUCAAAGGCUGCCUGGCGCAGGGCCUGCAGCUGGUCUCGCUGUUCCU
rnacentral:miRNA from 1 species